UUCAACCUGGCGGCGAGCGGCGAACGGGUGAGUAAUGCAUCGGAACAUGUCCAUGUCGUGGGGGAUAGCCCGGCGAAAGCCGGAUUAAUACCGCAUAAGCCCGAGAGGGGAAAGCCGGGGACCGCAAGGCCUGGCGCGAUUGGGUUGGCCGAUGUCCGAUUAGCUAGUUGGCGGGGUAAGAGCCCACCAAGGCGAUGAUCGGUAGCUGGUCUGAGAGGAUGAUCAGCCACACUGGGACUGAGACACGGCCCAGACUCCUACGGGAGGCAGCAGUGGGGAAUAUUGGACAAUGGGCGCAAGCCUGAUCCAGCAAUGCCGCGUGUGUGAAGAAGGCCUUCGGGUUGUAAAGCACUUUUAUCAGGAACGAAAUACCGCGGGUUAAUAACCUGCGGGGCUGACGGUACCUGAGGAAUAAGCACCGGCUAACUUCGUGCCAGCAGCCGCGGUA
rnacentral:rRNA from 1 species